GACGAACGCUGGCGGCGUGCCUAAUACAUGCAAGUUGAACGCUAAAGCUUUAACUGGUGCUUGCACCGACCUAAGUUUUUAGAGUAGCGGACGGGUGAGUAACACGUGGGUAACCUGCCCAUCAGAGGGGGAUAACACUUGGAAACAGGUGCUAAUACCGCAUAAUUCCUUUUACCGCAUGGUAAAAGGCUGAAAGGCGCUUCUGGUGUCACUGAUGGAUGGACCCGCGGUGCAUUAGCUAGUCGGUGGGGUAACGGCCUACCGAGGCAAUGAUGCAUAGCCGACCUGAGAGGGUGAUCGGCCACAUUGGGACUGAGACACGGCCCAAACUCCUACGGGAGGCAGCAGUAGGGAAUCUUCGGCAAUGGACGAAAGUCUGACCGAGCAACGCCGCGUGAGUGAAGAAGGUUUUCGGAUUGUAAAGCACUUUAAGUUGGGAGGAAGGGCAGUAAAUUAAUACUUUGCUGUUUUGACGUUACCGACAGAAUAAGCACCGGCUAACUCUGUGCCAGCAGCCGCCGUAACAC
rnacentral:rRNA from 1 species